UGGGGUGUAGCCAAGCGGUAAGGCAGCGGGUUUUGAUCCCGUCAUGCGAAGGUUCGAAUCCUUCCACCCCAG
rfam:Microbulbifer agarilyticus strain GP101, complete genome.